rnacentral:lncRNA from 1 species
GAUCAUAGAAUACUUUCGAAAGAGUAAAGCCUGUCAUUUUAUCCCAUAAUCAAAUGUUGGAGUUACAUUUAUGAAACUCGAUCCGUACCAGCAGGUCAAUCUAUGAUGUGGAUCUCGAGUCGAACAGAUCUAAUAAAUUCGGUGAGGAUUGAUAGAUGGUCUCUCGAGAAUGGUUCACGGACAGCAUUUCUGUAAAGUGUUGUUAAUGGGCUGGGGUUUAUUAAGUCUUACUUUACUGUGUAGAUGUUUCUCUAAUCUUCUGCACUUCCAGCCCAGAUUCUUUGUUCUGGACCGGCUGCUGUCAGAGGCUAGCAGGCUAGUGUCCAGCUUUGAGAGAGAGACAAAUGCGACAGCUUCCAUAAUGGUCACCUGCUCCAGCAGUUACAGGGUUGCCUUGGCUGCACCCCUGAAAGUUAAGAAAAUGCAAGAACAUGCAAAGAUUAUGUAGAAAGUGGAAUAUUGUGAUGAGAAAUCAACCCAACUUCUAUGUCGUCAUAUUAUUUGCCCAUGAGAUAUCAACCCCAUGUUUUACACCAUGUCUUUCAUGUGAUAUUUCACCAUUCAUUUAAUUUCCUCCAUGCCUCUCCAAAAAAA